rnacentral:rRNA from 1 species
AGAUUAAGUUAUUAAGGGCGCACGGUGGAUGCCUUGGCACUAGAAGCCGAUGAAGGACGUUACUAACGACGAUAUGCUUUGGGGAGCUGUAAGUAAGCUUUGAUCCAGAGAUUUCCGAAUGGGGAAACCCAGCAUGAGUUAUGUCAUGUUAUCGAUAUGUGAAUACAUAGCAUAUCAGAAGGCACACCCGGAGAACUGAAACAUCUUAGUACCCGGAGGAAGAGAAAGAAAAUUCGAUUCCCUUAGUAGCGGCGAGCGAAACGGGAAGAGCCCAAACCAACAAGCUUGCUUGUUGGGGUUGUAGGACACUCUAUACGGAGUUACAAAGGACGACAUUAGACGAAUCAUCUGGAAAGAUGAAUCAAAGAAGGUAAUAAUCCUGUAGUCGAAAAUGUUGUCUCUCUUGAGUGGAUCCUGAGUACGACGGAGCACGUGAAAUUCCGUCGGAAUCUGGGAGGACCAUCUCCUAAGGCUAAAUACUCUCUAGUGACCGAUAGUGAACCAGUACCGUGAGGGAAAGGUGAAAAGCACCCCGGAAGGGGAGUGAAAUAGAACCUGAAACCGUGUGCUUACAAGUAGUCAGAGCCCGUUAAUGGGUGAUGGCGUGCCUUUUGUAGAAUGAACCGGCGAGUUACGAUUUGAUGCAAGGUUAAGCAGUAAAUGUGGAGCCGUAGCGAAAGCGAGUCUGAAUAGGGCGUUUAGUAUUUGGUCGUAGACCCGAAACCAGGUGAUCUACCCUUGGUCAGGUUGAAGUUCAGGUAACACUGAAUGGAGGACCGAACCGACUUACGUUGAAAAGUGAGCGGAUGAACUGAGGGUAGCGGAGAAAUUCCAAUCGAACCUGGAGAUAGCUGGUUCUCUCCGAAAUAGCUUUAGGGCUAGCCUCAAGUGAUGAUUAUUGGAGGUAGAGCACUGUUUGGACGAGGGGCCCCUCUCGGGUUACCGAAUUCAGACAAACUCCGAAUGCCAAUUAAUUUAACUUGGGAGUCAGAACAUGGGUGAUAAGGUCCGUGUUCGAAAGGGAAACAGCCCAGACCACCAGCUAAGGUCCCAAAAUAUAUGUUAAGUGGAAAAGGAUGUGGCGUUGCCCAGACAACUAGGAUGUUGGCUUAGAAGCAGCCAUCAUUUAAAGAGUGCGUAAUAGCUCACUAGUCGAGUGACACUGCGCCGAAAAUGUACCGGGGCUAAACAUAUUACCGAAGCUGUGGAUUGUCCUUUGGACAAUGGUAGGAGAGCGUUCUAAGGGCGUUGAAGCAUGAUCGUAAGGACAUGUGGAGCGCUUAGAAGUGAGAAUGCCGGUGUGAGUAGCGAAAGACGGGUGAGAAUCCCGUCCACCGAUUGACUAAGGUUUCCAGAGGAAGGCUCGUCCGC